rnacentral:rRNA from 1 species
AUUGAACGCUGGCGGCAGGCUUAACACAUGCAAGUCGAGCGAGCGGCGGACGGGUGAGUAAUGUCUGGGAAACUGCCUGUUGGGGGGGGAUAAAUACUGGAAACGGUAGCUAAUACCGCAUACCAUCAGAUUUGCCCAGAUGGGAUUGGCGAGUAGGUGGGGUAAUGGCUCACCUAGGGGACGAUCCCUAGCUGGCCUGAUAGGAUGACCAGCAAAACUGGAAUUGUGACACGGCCCAGACUCCUACGGGAGGCAGCAGUGGGAAACAUUGGACAAUGGGGGAAAGCCUGCUGCAGCAAGGCCGGGGGUGUGAAGAAGGCCUUCGGUUUGUAAAGCACUUUCAGCGAGGAGGCGUUACUCGCAGAAGAAGCACCGGCUAACUCCGUGCCAGCAGCCGCGGUAAUUC